AAUUACCCUGGUCAUCUCGCCACACGGAGAGUCUUAACAGCAGGCCUCCUUCUCUCUCCAUGGGUAGGCUGGUGUUCUCUCAGGAGUACAGCGACAGCUCCAAUAUCCAGGUGCCCAGUGGAGACUGGAGCUUAAGAUUUUUGAAGUUAGAAAACUGUCAAGUGGGAGGUUAUAAGCAGUUUCUGCCUUAUUGGCUGGAAAUUGAUAUUUGUUUGGGGGCAGACCUUUCUUUAUUCUAAGAGGGACGACGUGGAGACUCUACUCUGUAACUGGCACAGAUGUCAGGCAAAUAGAUACAAAGAGAAUCAUCAAAUAAUACUCUGAACUUGAUGGGAUGCUGAUGAUCAGAUGAUGAAAAUCCUUCUGAAUAUCAGCAAGACUAAGACACUUCAGACAAAAGCUCUCUUGUCGACAUUCUUUAUAUACGUAUGGGAAUUGAGAGGCAUAAUGAUGCCAAGGAAAGUCAUUUGUACAUUUCUACUUCUAAUAUUUUUAUAAGAUGCUACUUUUUCACUGUUUAAACUGGAAGUGACUUGGAAACCUAUGCCAUUGAAUGCAAUAUAGAAUCCAGUAAUCGAGAGUCCUGGCCUCAUUAUUUACAUGACAUUAAUAUGAACCCAGGAAAUGUGAGCGGGACACAAUUUAUUACUUUUACUUUAUUUGUCCCUGCCUCAAAAACCCCAGCCCUCUGUCUUUGAUUAGGGCUGGGAAUUGUUGGGAGUUUGUUGUCUAUAAAAUGCUUGGGAAAACAAAGGUUAGAUACAUUGCGGGUGCGGGGGGAAGCAUUAUGUGAACAGUAAGUACACACGCAACUUGAGUGUCAUUCAUCAUUGCCAAGUCAUUCUCAAAGUGGCAAAUUUUCUUCUGCUUAUAUGAAAAAUAUAGACUGGCAAUCAACUUAAUUGUAACAACUGGAUGAUUUUUCAGAGGCUUCAGCUAUGAUUACUUCUCCUUCAAAAAUUUACAUUGAAUGAAAAUGACACCAUAAUGCCUGAAAGUAUAAUAAGUAAUAGACUCAAGAAAAAUUAUGACUCUCUAGAGACUAUUAAAAAUCUAUAAACAUUUUUGUACAGCAAAUGAACCAUUUUAAAAAUCAGCUUUUAUAAAACAUUUUCAUGAGAUCUUCUAAGUCUUCAUAUGAUUUAAAUUAAACUGCCUUGGUAAAAAUCAGAGAUUAUAUCUGACACUUUUUUUUUUUUUUUGGUCUAAUGUAAAAGUAGAAGAUCCUCUGAUUUAUAAUGUGUUGUUUAGCAAGGUUGAUUAAAUCUAGUGAUAAUCCUUGAUUAAACCAUUUAACUCUUUAGUCUUUACUCACAAAGAGAAAGCCAAAACAGCUAAGUGAAACAUGAAAUGAUCAAUGGUCAAAUACAGUAACAUGAAACAAAUGCAAUAAAAAAGUCAUAUUUAACAUUCUUUACUUAUUCUGAGCUAAUUUUUUUGAAGUACAGUUCAUCUUUCAAUCUUGAGAGACUAAAAUCUAUUACGCAGUCCUUCACAUGACUGAAAAAAGAGUAAGACAUGCUUGCACAUUGUUCCUUGCCUUCAUUUGAAACAAUUUUUUCAUAUUUCUUGUAUUGAUGAGACAAACCAUAUUAAUGGGCAAAAUUAAAGUAGCUGGAAUAUUUGUUUUUAUGGUUAAAUAUAACAUUUCCAACCUUUAAAAUAGUUUUUGCUUCAACACUAAAAAUUCAUGACCUAUGAAUGCUAUUUAUCAUGCCAU